GCAUAUCAAUAAGCGGAGGAAAAGAAACCAACAGGGAUUGCCCUAGUAACGGCGAGUGAAGCGGCAACAGCUCAAAUUUGAAAUCUGGCCCUUUUUGGGGUCCGAGUUGUAAUUUGCAGAGGGCGCUUUGGUGUCGGCAGCGGUCCAAGUUCCUUGGAACAGGACGUCACAGAGGGUGAGAAUCCCGUACGUGGUCGCUAGCCUUCACCGUGUAAAGCCCCUUCGACGAGUCGAGUUGUUUGGGAAUGCAGCUCUAAAUGGGAGGUAAAUUUCUUCUAAAGCUAAAUACUGGCCAGAGACCGAUAGCGCACAAGUAGAGUGAUCGAAAGAUGAAAAGCACUUUGGAAAGAGAGUCAAACAGCACGUGAAAUUGUUGAAAGGGAAGCGCUUGCAGCCAGACUUGCCUGUAGUUGCUCAUCCGGGCUUUUGCCCGGUGCACUCUUCUAUGGGCAGGCCAGCAUCAGUUUGGGCGGUUGGAUAAAGGUCUCUGUCAUGUACCUCUCUUCGGGGAGAACUUAUAGGGGAGACGACAUGCAACCAGCCCAGACUGAGGUCCGCGCAUCUGCUAGGAUGCUGGCGUAAUGGCUGUAAGCGGCCCGUCUUGAAACACGGACC
rnacentral:rRNA from 1 species